rnacentral:rRNA from 1 species
UACGAAGGGUGCAAGCGUUAAUCGGAAUUACUGGGCGUAAAGGGUGCGUAGGCGGUUCGUUAAGUCUGUCGUGAAAUCCCCGGGCUCAACCGUGGAGGGUCCUUGGAAACUGGGGGACUUGAGUGCAGAAGAGGAGAGUGGAAUUCCACGUGUAGCGGUGAAAUGCGUAGAGAUGUGGAGGAACACCAGUGGCGAAGGCGACUCUCUGGGCUGUAACUGACGCUGAGGCGCGAAAGCGUGGGGAGCGAACAGG